CACAGAGUUAGCCGGUGCUUGCUAAGGAGAUACCGUCAUCGAUACCGGUAUUAGCGGUACCUUAUUCGUCUCUCCCCACAGAGCUUUACGACCCGAAGGCCUUCAUCGCUCACGCGGCGUCGCUGCGUCAGACUUUCGUCCAUUGCGCAAGAUUCCCUACUGCUGCCUCCCGUAGGAGUCUGGACCGUGUUUCAAUUCCAGUGUGGCUGCUCAUCCUCUCAGACCAGCUACCCGUCUUAGCCUUGGUAAGCCAUUACCUUACCAACUAGCUGAUGGGCCGCAGACUCAUCCUCAAGCGCAAGCUUACAUGUGGUGGCCUGCUUUGACCGCAACCCCAGGGGGGUCGUGGUCUUAUGCUGUAUUAGUCCUCCUUUCGGAGGGUUAUCCACCACUCGAGGGGAGAUGACCUACGUGUUACUCACCCGUGCGCCGCUUUACCGGGGCCGAAGCCCCUUUCUCGCACGACUUUCGCUAUGUUAGUUACGGCCGCCGCCGUACGUUACGUUUCGUUCGUGACCG
rnacentral:rRNA from 1 species